rnacentral:SRP_RNA from 1 species
CGGGGCUUGUGCAAUGGAGACCUAUGAACCUCGUCAGGUCCGAGAGGAAGCAGCGAUAAGUAGUCAUCUUCAUGUGCCACAA